rnacentral:siRNA from 1 species
UACAGAACAGAGAACCGAACGUA